UUUAUAUUCCCUCCGUUCAACAAAGAAUGACUCAAGUUUGACUAAAUUUGAAUGUAUCUAUACACUAAGUCAUGUCUAGAUACAUUCAAAUUUUGACAAACUUGAGACAUCUUUUGUUGGACGGAGGGAGUAAUAC
rfam:Brachypodium distachyon strain Bd21 chromosome 3, whole genome shotgun sequence.